rnacentral:rRNA from 1 species
AUACGGAGGAUCCGAGCGUUAUCCGGAUUUAUUGGGUUUAAAGGGUGCGCAGGCGGCCAUUUAAGUCAGCGGUUAAAUCGUGGGGCUCAACCCCAUUCUGCCGUUGAUACUGGGUGGCUUGAUUGCGGUCGAGGUUGGCGGAAUUCGUUGUGUAGCGGUGAAAUGCAUAGAUAUGACGAAGAACACCGAUUGCGUAGGCAGCUGACCAGACCGCAAAUGACGCUCAUGCACGAAAGUGCGGGGAUCGAACAGGAUUAGAUACCCUGGUAGUCCGCACAGUAAACGAUGAAUACUUGUUUUCGGCGAUAUAAUGUCGGAGGCAAAGCGAAAGCGAUAAGUAUUCCACCUGGGGAGUACGCCGGCAACGGCGAAACUCAAAUGAAUUGGCGGGG